GCCCGGGUGGCGAAACUGGUAGACGCACAAGACUUAAAAUCUUGGGAACUUUAUGUUCGUGCCGGUUCGAUUCCGGCCCUGGGCA
rnacentral:tRNA from 1 species